CCUACGGGUGGCAGCAGUGAGGAAUAUUGGUCAAUGGCCGGAAGGCUGAACCAGCCAUGCCGCGUGAAGGUCAGUGCCCUAUGGGCGUUAAACUUCUUUUGUGCGGGAGCAAUAAUGGUCACGUGUGGCCAGACGAGAGUACCGUACGAAUAAGCAUCGUCUAACUCCGUGCCAGCAGCCGCGGGAAUACGGGGGAUGCAAGCGUUAGAAGGAUUUAUUGUGGUUAAAGGGUGCGUCGGCUGUGAGGUAAGUCCGCGGUGAAAUGGCCCCGUUCAACGGGUUGAAGUGACAUUGAUACUGCCUUGCUGGAAUGCGGAUGACGUGGGAGGAAU
rnacentral:rRNA from 1 species